UUCUGAUUGGACACACCCCUCGGUCGGACGCAGCAGCCGGUUUGUUUCACUUUGGUUGAGCUCCGGGUCCCAGACAUGGAGGGGACGGGCCCCCUGAGGGUGGGGCUGACAGUGUUGGUCCUCCUGUGUGGAGGGGUCUCCGCAGGCUCUCGCUUUCUUCGAUUCUUCCUGACAUCCACAACUCCGAUUCCCGGUUUUCCACAGGUUGUGGUUGUCGGUUCCGUGGACGGUGUCCAGUUCAUGAUGUACGACAGUGAUCGGAAGUUGGUUCCCCAGGACCAGUGGAUGGGGGGGAGUGAGGGGGCCGAGUGGUGGAUGAGGAAGCUGGAACUUCUCGGGUUCCGUGAGAUGCCCAUGAAAGAAUUUAUGUCGUUCGUAAUGUCUCAGACCAACCAGUCGAGCGGAAUCCACACCCUCCAGGGGAUAUUCGGCUGUGACCUGAGGGAAGAUGGGACCACGAACGGCUUCGUCCAGUACGGCUGGGACGGAGAGGACCUGAUCAACUUCAACAAGGGCCGCAUGAUGUGGGUGUCGUCAGUACCAUGGGGAAUGGGCAUUCAACACCAAUGCAAUGUUAAUGUGGGCCGCUUUCAGAAAUGGAAGGACUUCCUGGAGAGGGAUUGUGUCGAGUGGCUGAGGAGAUUCGUGGAGUACGGAGAGAGGGAACUGCGAGUGGUGCCCCCCCAGGUGACCUUCACCCCUUCGGCCCACAACCCCCACCUCUCCUGCUUGGCCACCGGCUUCCACCCCCCGUCCAUCGAGGUGACCCUGUGGAGGGACGGGACCAUCCUCCAUGAGGCCCACUCCAGCGGGCUCCUGCCCAAUCACGACGGGACCCACCAGAUCCGGAAGUGGGUGCAGGUCGAUCCCGAGGACCCGGGACAGUUCUCCUGUCGAGUGGAGCACAGCGGACUAGAGGAUCCCAUCGUCCUGGUUUACGUGCGGGGGACUCACUCCCGGCUCCCACUCAUCCUCGGGCUCCUGGUCGCUCUCAUCGCUCUCACCAUCGCUGUCGGCGCCGUCUACAGGUGGCGAGCGGGAGUGAAGAGGAACUACAAUCCCACACCGACUUCAGACGGUGCAGGAUCCUCGGCCGGUUCCACCGCCAGCGAGUGAUGUACGAAUGGUGUUGAUGGACACUGUGCUCCGACACCACUGGGCUCCCACCUGGCUCAGUACGGAUGCUCCUUACUGUAUCGUCUCAGUGUGCCCCUUCGUUCCCCCGUGAUCGGACCGGCGGACGGAGAAGAUCUCGGAGACGACAGAGAGACUCCGGGUAUGAUUCACCUCGUCGCUCUGAGCUAAAACUUCAUGCAGAAGACAAACCCUCCAGGUGUGAUGUCUGUGGAUCUGUGUUGGUUCCAUCGGCUCCCACACACUGCAGGUGCUGUACACAACCUGCCCUGCCGUCCUCGACUGAACUGUUGUGGAUUUUUAUAAUGUGGUGAACACUACACUUAUUCCCCACAGUCCCUUCCAUUCCAUCCCACCCCUCACCUACACAUCCCUCCAGACUGAUCCGAUGUGAUGAGCCUACCUCCACCCACCGGUGUCCCCCACCUUCCCCAGUUCUGAUGCACGGUCAUUGGGCUGAAAUGUGACUGCCAUUUCCCUCUCCACGGAUGCUGCCCGACCCACUGAGUAUCCCCAGCGUGCAGGGUUUUAUUUCGGAACGCCUGCCCUUUGGUGCGUGGGUCUGGUGGGCUUCAGUGGGAGUGGGGGGAGGUUACUGCUGGUGGUCACGGGGGAGGGGUGGUGAUGGGAGGGGAGGGAUGGUGGGGGGAUGUGGAGGGGGAGCAGAAGGGUCUGAGGGUGGAGAGGGGAUGGAGGUGGUGGACGGGAGGUGUGUGGUUGGGAGGGGUGCAGUGACCCUGGGUCCGACCGUUUGAUUAACUCUGAUGUGACUGGUUUCUCUUCCACAGCGACCUGACUGGCGGUCGGAGAGGACGAGAAACUCCCUGCAGAGAGAACCGAGAGACUCCGGGAAUAUUUCCGCUCAUCGCUCCGAGCCGAAGAUCCGUGAUACCCUCCAGUUGUGGUCUCCGUGGAUCACCACGGCAUUGGACCAUGGGGCAGGUGUGUCGGACGUGUCCAGCCGUUGGACAUCUCCAGGUGGCCAGACUGUGCUGAAGGAGACAGAAAAACCGAGCAACACGACGACAGACAGAAAUGGCCAGUGCAGAUCGAGUGAAAGUGUGUGUAUCUGCUGGAUAUGGUUGGAUAUGAUGGAUGUGUGGGACAUUGGGCAUGUUGGCCAUUGGGCAUGUUGGACAUUGGACACUGGACGUGGAUGUGACCAAUACAGAGAGAAUAAAAGAGUGCAUUUACUUGUUGGAUUUGGUUCAUCAUCUCCGAUCCCAUUGACAACAGAGGAGGUGCUGGCAGUCUUAAAGCAUAUCACAGAAGAUAAAUAUAUACCAUAUAUUUGCACCAUAGAAAGCAUCUGAUCUGGAUGCAUCUCGGCUUGGUACGGCAACUGCUCCGCCCAGGACCACAAGAAACUGUAGAGAGUUGUGGACACAGCCCAGCACGUCACAGAAACCA